UACGUAGGGUGCGAGCGUUGUCCGGAAUUAUUGGGCGUAAAGAGCUCGUAGGCGGUCUGUCGCGUCGGAUGUGAAAAUCCAGGGCUCAACCCUGGACCUGCAUUCGAUACGGGCAGACUAGAGUUCGGCAGGGGAGACUGGAAUUCCUGGUGUAGCGGUGAAAUGCGCAGAUAUCAGGAGGAACACCGGUGGCGAAGGCGGGUCUCUGGGCCGAAACUGACGCUGAGGAGCGAAAGCGUGGGGAGCAAACAGG
rnacentral:rRNA from 1 species